CAAGCGACAUGGACAGCUCGAUCUGAGGGACUUUGGAUUUAAGAGGGCAAAAAGUAGCGUUUUAGAUGACAGCCAGUACAAUGCGACAGCAGAACAUGGUGCUGGUGCAACAAGGGGAGCUGGAGGGGACCCAGAGGCUGAGAGAAUUGAAGAGGAUAACCGUGGACAGGAAGCAGGACGGCACACAGGAGAGCCAAGAGUUGGAGAAGGAACA